UAAUGACAUUAAAUUCAUAAUUUUUUUAAAACAAAGCAACAUACAGCUAAAAAUGUUUGAUAAGUAGUGGAAAUGAAUGGGGCUCUAUGGGUUGUUUGGAACUAUACAGAGCUCCACAACCCGGAAGCUGGGCAGAAAAAAUGUCCCGCCCCCUUUCCAACGGUUCCCUAUGGGAGUGUCGCCACUCUGUUCUCUCUACCGCUCUGGGCGUAGCAUGACAGGAUAUUGCUUUAGUUUAAAUGAAACAGGAGGUUUGGUUUCAUGGAAAACAAAGAAACAACCUACAGUGGCAUUAUCUACAUGUGAAGCUGAGUACAUGGCUUUAACAGCUACAGCACAGGAGAGUGUAUAUCUUGUCCAGUUACUGGGAGGUAUUGAUAAUGUAUACCAAUGUUCACCAGUGCAAAUUUUUGAGGACAAUCAAGGUGCAAUAGCUUUAGCUAAAGAUCCCGUGAGCAGACAAAGAUAAUGUUAUGACUAAACCUGCGACAAAGCACAUCAGUCUCUAUCUACGGACAGUCGGACACCUCGUUCUGCACAUGCGCACAUCCACACUGGACCGGAGAUACUUAUUGUAACCAACCGUCUCUGUCUCCACACAGAACUUUAAGUGAAAUACAAAUGUCGUGUUUUCAGUUCUUUUAUUCUGAAACAUGAGUCUAACAAAGUACGUGCUUGUGUAUUUAUUUGAAGAUGAAACUCCUGCCACAUGUGUUAUUGAGUCAGAGCUCAUUGAAGGUCAAAAGAAUCUGACAAGAUCUCAUUGACGGCUAAACUGUUGUCGUCAACUUAGUGAGAAAUAAAAAAAAAGACGUUUUUGUUAAGCCCUGUUGUACCAAGAGACUGUAAGAAAAGUGCUCUUCCCAAGUAAAAGAUUUAAUCUGACCAGUCAAACCAGCUGCUGACUCACAAUCAGAGCCAUAACAGGUGGAGAAUGCAGAGACGCCCUCAAUUACUACCUGACUAUUUGUUUAUUCCCCAUUUUCCAUUGAUUCAUUUAAAUGAAAUGCUUGAUGAUAAUAAUAAUAACAAUAACAUAUAAUAAAUACAAUAUAUUCUAACUAAUUUUACCUGUUUAUAAGGUAUAGAAAUCUUUUUAUUAUUUUUGUUCAUUAAACUGAAUUUGAUUAAUGAUAUAAAAUAUUUUUUG